UUUCAUUACUACUUUUAACAACUUAGAUAACUAUAUAUUUGGUUUUGCAGCUAAGAAAUGGUCUUUAACGAAAGUGAGUUUAAAUGCCAGUGAGCAGAGACAAUGUAUUCAAAAAAGACUCCAGUUUCAGCUCAAACAUUCCCCUAGGAAUAAUUUUGGCAAGAGAUCUAUUCUGAAUUCGUGGUAGGCUGGGGGCAAAGAUGAGAGAAAGAAGAAAAGGGAAGUCU
rnacentral:lncRNA from 1 species